UGUGAAGAUGCAGUGUACCCGCGGCAAGACGGAAAGACCCCGUGAACCUUUACUAUAGCUUGACACUGAACAUUGAGCCUUGAUGUGUAGGAUAGGUGGGAGGCUUUGAAGCGUGGACGCCAGUCUGCGUGGAGCCGGCCUUGAAAUACCACCCUUUAAUGUUUGAUGUUCUAACGUGGACCCGUGAUCCGGGUUGCGGACAGUGUCUGGUGGGUAGUUUGACUGGGGCGGUCUCCUCCU
rnacentral:rRNA from 1 species